GCGCCCCCGGGCCCCGGUCGGGACGGGCACCGCCCCCGAGCCCCGCUCAGCCCGGUGCGGGGGGUCCCACGCAGCCCUUUCCUCGGGUAUGAGGGUCCCCGUGGCCCUGCCCCCGGUGCGGUAUCCCCUGCCCGGGUCCCCGGGGAAGGGGUGUCCCGGUUCCCAGCUGCCCGGGAUCUGGCAAGGGCCGAGGGGUGCUCAGCGGGACCUUCCUGGCAGGAGCGUCAUAGAUCUGUUAUUGAGAAGCAGCAGAAAAGCCUUUCUGUGCCACCAUCCAAAGCAGCGCAUCUGGUCCCAGCGCACAAUCGGCCCAUUGAGUUGGUGACAUCGGAGUGUGGCCAAGGGGACGAGCUUUCCUGUUCCUUCCCCUCGGUGGGAUGGUUUGGAGCCCAAAUCCUCCUCAGGGCAGCAUCUCUGCUGGUGCUUUCUGCUCUCCAAUCUCUGCUGGGAGCUUCCCACCUCAUCUAUUGGACAGAAUAAGGUUCCCCAAAUAUUGCACCAUCCACAGUGCUUCCAAGAGAGAUUCCCUCCUG